rnacentral:rRNA from 1 species
AGAGUUUGAUCAUGGCUCAGGACGAACGCUGCGGCAUGCCUUAAUACAUGCAAGUCGAGCGAACAAAGAAGAAACUUGUUUCUUCUUUGUUAGCGGCGGAUGGGUGAGUAACACGUGGGCAACCUGCCCUGCAGAUGGGGAUAACUCCGGGAAACCGGGGCUAAUACCGAAUAAUCAGUUUGUUCGCAUGAACAAACCCUGAAAGACGGCUUACGCUGUCACUGCAGGAUGGGCCCGCGGCGCGUUAGCUAGUUGGUGGGAUAACGGCCUACCAAGGCGACGACGCGUAGCCGACCUGAGAGGGUGAUCGGCCACACUGGGACUGAGACACGGCCCAGACUCCUACGGGAGGCAGCAGUAAGGAAUCUUCCACAAUGGACGAAAGUCUGAUGGAGCAAUGCCGCGUGAGUGAAGAAGGUUUUCGGAUCGUAAAACUCUGUUGUGAGGGAUGAACAAGUACGCGAGUAACUGUCCGUCCUUGACGGUACCUCAUUAGAAAGCCACGGCUAACUACGUGCCAGCAGCUUGCGGUAAUACGAAAGGGGGCUAAGCGUUGCUCGGAAUCACUG